CAAGAGAUCCCAGCAGCUUAAAGAAGCCAGUCAUUUGGAUUACUCAUAACCUGCCUUGUGAACUGCUUAAGGGAAUUUCUUGAAGAACUGUGUCAAAAUCAGCUUUAGAAACCAUUAAUUUGAGAGCUUUCAUUGACACAUAAGAAGCAUUCCAAGAUUAUUGUUGAUCAAGUUGGUGGGCUUGGAAGGAAUUUUCUUUUUGUUGGUACUGAGAGAAAAUUUUCUCAUUUUGUGCAAGGAAGCAAGAGGAUAAAAAAGGCUUUUUUCCUCUCUGCAAGAAGAAAUCUGACGCAGUGGGAACGCAAUCACCCAGACACCAUGAAUGCUUGCAGAAGGAUACAUUCUCUCCGUGCUCACAGACAGAAAACUAACGGAAACAAAAGUGAGAACUGGCACAGUACCUCUGGGUUCAAGCACCAGCAUGGAGAUGAUCUUGUUACAGUGCACACCCUUUACACAGUGAUCAUCAUGAUCCUUCUACUGGCACUCUGGGGAGCCUGGUCAAGAAAGGAUUCAUCCUUACUGCAGUAAUAUAGCAACUUUCUUUGUCAAAUAUUUAAAGAAGUAUUUGUGUCAAUUAUCCAUACUCAAGAGCUACAAAAAAAUGGUCUCAGCAUAUUUCAGUUUACUUGAAACCGCUUAAAUGGCUGCUACUUGUGGAGGUGAAUCUAUGAAGCAAUUUAACAAGCCAUGUACAGAACAUGAUUUUGUGAAUAAGAGAGGCCUGUUUGACCUGUACAUAUUUUUAUUACCCUCAGCAUGUGUAUGAAACUUUAAGCACAAUAUUCUAGAAAGAAGAGUUCAACUUCUGUUUUAUUGGUCAAUGUUUUGUAUGUCCACCCCAGCUUUCCAUUUGUGAACCUGUCGAGUCUCUACCUCUGCUAAGUCUGUCCCAAGCCGUGGUAAAACAUACACUAUAAGAAGGGAAACAAUCUGCCGUGUCACAACAACACAGGAAAAAAAUAAUCAACAAACCCAGCUAUCCUGCUGGCAAAGGAAGAAGACUGAAAAAAUCGAAUUCUCAUCUCUGCUGCUGAAGAGAGUUUAUAUGGGACCCUGCAUCCAUUAUUUUUAACCUAUGGUAAUGACUUUGUAAAUUCAGGAAUAAAACUAUGAAAUAA